GCCUGGGGAGAGGUUUCUAGGUACCUGUAAGGUGUCCAGGGGGGUCAGGCCCUCGGUUGACUGAGCCCUGCCCUCCGCAGUACUGGACCUGUGUCAGACCUUGGGCAAAUCAGUCCACUCGUUAGAGCCUGAUAACCCAGAUACAGGAAGAGAAGACGGGGCGGCUGCUGGGGACUGUAACAUCUGGGCCGGGAGACUCCUGCAGUCUGACUUGGCUGGAAAGCUCAGAAUCAUAGAGGAGUCCAGGACACGGAGGCCAUGGGUCAGAAUUAAUGAAGCACCUGCCUGUGUGAGGCGCCAUGGCAGGCUUGCUCCAGGAAGGAUGAGUAAGCUGUGGAAAGGGCCAGCCGUUGUGCACAGAGAGAGAUGGAUGAGUAAGAUGAAGAUGAACAAGCCCUUUCUCUGUAAGCAAGUGGGCACCUGAUGAUGAGGGAGAUAGACCUACACGUGCACCCAAUAAACCGCCUUCGCAGAA